rnacentral:rRNA from 1 species
GGGGAAUUGUUCGCAAUGGGCGCAAGCCUGACGACGCAACGCCGCGUGGAGGAUGAAGGUCUUCGGAUUGUAAACUCCUGUUGAUCGGGACGAACAACCAUCGGGAUAACACCCCGGAGGUCUGACGGUACCUGACGAAGAAGCCCCGGCUAACUACGUGCCAGCAGCCGCGGUAAUACGUAGGGGGCGAGCGUUGUCCGGAUUCAUUGGGCGUAAAGCGCGCGUAGGCGGCCCCGCAAGUCGGCCGUGAAAUCUCCGGGCUCAACUCGGAGGGGUCGGGCGAGACUGCGGGGCUCGAGGUGGGUAGAGGGCAGUGGAAUUCCGGGUGUAGUGGUGGAAUGCGUAGAGAUCCGGAGGAACACCAGUGGCGAAGGCGGCUGCCUGGGCCUGGCCUGACGCUGAGGCGCGAAAGCGUGGGGAGCGAUC